UAGGUAGCUUAACCUUCGGGAGGGCGCUUACCACUUUGUGAUUCAUGACUGGGGUGAAGUCGUAACAAGGUAACCGUAGGGGAACCUGCGGUUGGAUCACCUCCUUACCUGCAAGA
rnacentral:rRNA from 1 species